rnacentral:misc_RNA from 1 species
AGCCAAACAGACUUUGUUGAUUUACCUGAUGGAUGUUGAUAGAUCUGUAUAUUUUAUUUAAAUUAAUUGUGGAAUUUUGGUUCAUUUUCUGUGUUUGUUUCCGUUGGCAGUUCAUAGAUAAAUAUACGAUUAUUUUCCCUGCUGUUGCAAUCUAUUAAUUAUAGGGUUUUUAGUUACAAACCGUUUGCAUGCUAUAUCUGAGGAAAUUUUGCACUCUGGCUUUGUAUUCUCUCUUUUUUCCCCUAUUAGAUCUGGGUAUUUUGGUUUCCUCAAUUAUAAAGGAUCUGGGUAAUUUUAUGCUAUUAUU